AUUUAUAUGGAGAAUAAGAAGUGAAGCAAAAGACAAUUUUCUGCCUAUGAAAACGAUGUAAUUCCCGUGAAUUCCUUUCAUUAAAGCAUAAAAAGAUACACCAAGUCAAUUAACACUACAAAAAAAAGAAAACAAAAGAAAAGAAAAAAGACAUCAGCACUGUGCUAGGCACUGAGGACACAAAGACAAAGGACCUAAUGCCUUCCAUUAAAUGGAGAAAACAGAUAAGCAAACAAAGCCACAAGCCUAUGUCAAGGGAAUCUUUUCCUGCCAUGAGGAUGCAUAGCACCUGACGUCAACCUGGAGGGAGAUCAAAUGCAGUGGAUGAGAAAGAACUAAGCCUAUUUGGGGUCACAUUUUGUGAUUGGAUAUU